UGCCGCGGUUAUACGAGGGACUCAAGUUGAUAGACAGCGGCGUAAAGCGUGGUUAUGGACACCCCCCCCCCUACUAAAGUUAAACACCCCUCAAACUGUUAUACGCAUCCAGGGAAUGGAUACCCGCCCACGAAAGUGACUUUAACACUUUUCCUGAACCCACGUAAGCUAAGAAA
rnacentral:rRNA from 1 species